rnacentral:rRNA from 1 species
GACGAACGCUGGCGGCGUGCCUAAUACAUGCAAGUUGAGCGCUGAAGGUUGGUACUUGUACCAACUGGAUGAGCAGCGAACGGGUGAGUAACGCGUGGGGAAUCUGCCUUUGAGCGGGGGACAACAUUUGGAAACGAAUGCUAAUACCGCAUAAAAACUUUAAACACAAGUUUUAAGUUUGAAAGAUGCAAUUGCAUCACUCAAAGAUGAUCCCGCGUUGUAUUAGCUAGUUGGUGAGGUAAAGGCUCACCAAGGCGAUGAUACAUAGCCGACCUGAGAGGGUGAUCGGCCACAUUGGGACUGGGACACGGCCCAAACUCCUACGGGAGGCAGCAGUAGGGAAUCUUCGGCAAUGGACGAAAGUCUGACCGAGCAACGCCGCGUGAGUGAAGAAGGUUUUGGGAUCGUAAAACUCUGUUGGUAGAGAAGAACGUUGGUGAGAGUGGAAAGCUCAUCAAGUGACGGUAACUACCCAGAAAGGGACGGCUAACUACGUG